rnacentral:rRNA from 1 species
CUGGUUGAUCCUGCCAGUAGGCACCGCUAUUGGCUUUCGCUUAAGCCAUGCGAGUCCAGAGUGGUCAAGCACUCGGCGCACGGCUCAGUAACACGCGGUCAACCUGCCCUCAAGUGGAGAAUAAGCUCGGGAAACUGAGGAUAAUGCUCCAUAGCCCACCUAUGCUGGAAGGCUUGGUGGGCCAAAGCUCCGGCGCUUGAGGAUGGGACUGCGGCCUAUCAGGUUGUAGUGGGGGUAACGGCCUCACUAGCCUACAACGGGUACGGGCGUUGGGAGACGUCGCCCGGAGAUGGAUUCUGAGACACGAAUCCAGGCCCUACGGGGCGCAGCAGGCGCGAAAACUUCGCAAUGGGGGAAACCCCGACGAGGGAAAGCCAAGUGCCAGCACAAUGUGCUGGCUGUUUUCCUGUCUAAAAAACAGGGAGAGUAAGGGCUGGGUAAGACGGGUGCCAGCCGCCGCGGUAAUACCUGCAGCCCGAGUGGUGCUCGUUAUUAUCGGGUCUAAAACGUCCGUAGUCGGUUGAGUAGAUGCCCGGGUAAAUCGCAGCGCUUAACGUUGCGAAUUCCGGGUAGACCGCUCGGCUAGGGAUUGGGAGAGGUGCACAGUACUCUGAGGGUAGGGGUAAAAUCCUGUAAUCCUUGGGGGGCUACCAGUGGCGAAGCGAUGCACUAGRACAAGUCCGACGAUCAGGGACGAAGCCUGGGGCGCAAACGGGAUUAGAUACCCCGGUAGUCCAGGGUGUAAACGCUGCCGGCUUGGUGUCGCGGAUCCUACGUGGGUACGCGGUGCCGGAGUGAAGAUGUUAAGCCGGCUACCUGGGGAGUACGGUCGCAAGACUGAAACUUAAAGGAAUUGGCGGGGGAGCACCGCAACGGGAGGAGCGUGCGGUUUAAUUGGAUUCAACGCCGGAAAGCUCACCAGGGAAGACCAUAAUAUGUGAGCCAAGCUGAUGACUUUGCUCGAAUUAUGGAGAGGUGGUGCAUGGCCGUCGUCAGUUCGUACCGUGAGGCGUUCUGUUAAGUCAGAUAACGAACGAGACCCUCGCCCACAAUUGCUACUUCAAUCUCCGGAUGGAAGGCACAUUGUGGGGACCGCUGGCGCUAAGCCAGAGGAAGGUGAGGUCUACGGUAGGUCCGUAUGCCCCGAAUUUCCUGGGCUACACGCGCGCUACAAAGGACGAGACAAUGGGUCCCGACGCCGAGAGGCGGAGGUAAUCUCGAAACUCGUUCAUAGUUCGGAUUGAGGAUUGCAAUUCAUCCUCAUGAAGGUGGAUUCCGUAGUAAUCGCGGAUCAACAUUCCGCGGUGAAUAUGCCCCUGCCAUUUGUACACACCGC